AAGAUAUUAGUAAAGUUAACAUUAUAUCAUCUUGUCGAGAUGAAGUUGCAGGUUAAAUCCCUGUAUGUCUUA
rnacentral:tRNA from 1 species